rnacentral:lncRNA from 1 species
GUGGCUGUGUCAAAUACAAGAAUCGCAGAAACUAGCUUUCUCCAUUACCUGCUUUUUGUGGCUGCAGGAAACCCAGUCAUGGAAAGUCUUCCUUUCCCUCAAGUUCUGACAAAUGCUGAGAUUAUUAAGGCAGCUCUCAGGGCACAAACAGUACAUUUAGAAAAAGACAGGACUAGAAAACAGUGAAGUACACUUUUUGUUUAAUUCCAUGCAUUUGUUUGCUUUGAUAGUCAUUCUUGUUCCCAUUGCCGUUCAAUACAGAGAGGGAGCCGGCAUCAGAAAACAACACUGGGAGCUGGGGACUGACAGUACAGGAGACCAGAGGGGAGCCAGGAAGUGGUCAGCAGGCAGAAAGGAAAUGAGCUACAAGGAAAUGGCACUUGAGUAUGAAAGAUCAACACGUUGGGUCAAGGUAGCACAUUUGCCAAGAGGAAGCACAUGCCCUUGAAGACAUUGGGUGCAAGUAUCUGGUCACCAGACUUUUCUAGGUCAUUUCCGUAAGCCACCUGGACAAGCUGGUUGAAGUGAAUAUGGUCUGUUCACAAGUUGCCUGGAAUUGCUUUUCUUUUGCUGUUCUUUGUGUUCUAAAAUGUUCAAUGUCUUGCUCUGGCUCUUCUUUAGUCACUUAUGGCCAAAAGACCUGGUCCCCUGUUCAAGCAGCAAUAAUACCUCCCGGCCCCACAAAUUCCCAAGGAUGUUGCUCUUAAAUUCCACUUAUUUCUUUUUUUCUGUUCUU